rnacentral:rRNA from 1 species
UACGGGGGGGGCAAGCGUUGUUCGGAAUUACUGGGCGUAAAGGGCGCGUAGGCGGUUCGCUAAGUUGGAUGUGAAAACUCUGGGCUCAACCCAGAGCCUGCAUCCAAAACUGGCGGGCUAGAGUUCUGGAGGGGGUAGCGGAAUUCCUGGUGUAGCGGUGAAAUGCGUAGAUAUCAGGAGGAACACCGGUGGCGAAGGCAGCUCGCUGGAACGGUACUGACGCUGAGGCGCGAAAGCGUGGGGAGCAAACAGG